rnacentral:rRNA from 1 species
UACGUAGGUGGCAAGCGUUUGUCCGGAUUUAUUGGGUUUAAAGGGUGCGUAGGCGGUCUUUUAAGUCAGUGGUGAAAUACGGCAGCUCAACUGUCGAGGUGCCAUUGAUACUGGAAGACUUGAGUACUGAUGAGGUAGGCGGAAUGGACGGUGUAGCGGUGAAAUGCUUAGAUAUCGUCCAGAACACCGAUAGCGAAGGCAGCUUACUAAGGAGUAACUGACGCUGAGGCACGAAAAGUGUGGGGGAUCAAACAGGG